rnacentral:sRNA from 1 species
CCAUAGCCCCGAUAGAAACGAAAAUCCUUUUGCUUUUUUCUUUAAAAAGCAAAAGAUUGAAGUGAAUAGCGGGAUUAAGC